rnacentral:rRNA from 1 species
ACGGGGCGCAGCAGGCGCGAAAACUUUACAAUGCGGGAAACCGUGAUAAGGGGACACCGAGUGCCAGCAUCAUAUGCUGGCUGUCCAGGUGUGUAAAAUACACCUGUUAGCAAGGGCCGGGCAAGACCGGUGCCAGCCGCCGCGGUAACACCGGCGGCCCGAGUGGUGAUCGUGAUUAUUGGGUCUAAAGGGUCCGUAGCCGGUUUGGUCAGUCCUCCGGGAAAUCUGACAGCUCAACUGUUAGGCUUUCGGGGGAUACUGCCAGACUUGGAACCGGGAGAGGUAAGAGGUACUACAGGGGUAGGAGUGAAAUCUUGUAAUCCCUGUGGGACCACCUGUGGCGAAGGCGUCUUACCAGAACGGGUUCGACGGUGAGGGACGAAAGCUGGGGGCACGAACCGGAUUAGAUACCCGGGUAGUCCCAGCCGUAAACGAUGCUCGCUAGGUGUCAGGCAUGGCGCGACCGUGUCUGGUGCCGCAGGGAAGCCGUGAAGCGAGCCACCUGGGAAGUACGGCCGCAAGGCUGAAACUUAAAGGAAUUGGCGGGGGAGCAC